AUAGAUCAGUGGAUGUGCGCCACUAAACGAAGCCUCUGCUGCUGCGUUGACCUUCUUUGUCAGUUUAAUAAACAGAGACUGACGUCUUUUAAGCGUUGUUUUCAUCUCCUUCACCUUCCGUUCGUAAACUGCUACAAGCCGGAAAGCUCAAUGAAAAGUUGGCGUGGACUUUGGUGAAGCGGCGCUCAACGAGACCCCUGAUCUAGACCAAAACAUGAACAAUUAUGCAAAUUAUCAAAAACGUGUCGGUGAGGUCAAAGCAAAUGCGGAUGGAAAUAUGGCCAAGACUCAGCUGGAGUGGAGAAAAGAAUCUAAAUAACAUCAGAAAAACCAAAUGGUGAAAAAUAAAUGAUUCCAACUGCCCUGAUUCAUGGAAUAAAAUCAGUGUGUGUGUGUGUGUGUGUCUGUACAGCUAUCUUUGUGAGGACCAAUGUGUUAGACCUUCAGAGUGAGGACAUCUUGGCCGAUCCUCACUUUGGGAGCGAGGCGGAAGACUAGAAAGAUGCCGUGACAAAACCACAUUUCACCUCUACUGUAUCUGAUGAACUCAUGUGCUAGAUGCACUAGAUCGAUGAGAAAUAAGUCUUGCAGGUGUCUUACCUCUUCUGAUGCAGACGGUGGUCAUCACAGGAGCCAAAAGGUCGCCUGGAGGUCACAGAGAGGUCGAGGCCGGCCUGUUUGCAGUUUCAUAUUCACGGAUCAGCCCUUGAGCAAGGCACCGAACCCCCAGGAACAAGACGCAGAAGAAAUGUAUUCAUCCAUUAUAGGUCAGAACAAAGGACAAGAAAGAAUAUUAAAAUACAGAGAGACAGGACGCUUGACCUCUUGCGAUUUGUGAUAUUAAAAAUGUAAAUGUGGAACACAGUUAUAAGCAUCUAUCAAAUUCCUACACUCCUACAAAAGAAAUUAGAUUUAAAGCUUAAAUUAAACCCUAAAAAUUGCCACAAGGAAAAUCUUCACUUGAAUUUUUCCUGAGAACAAAUCUACUUCUCAAAUCCUCACAUCUUGAAUUCAAGAAUAACACCCAACUACUACGCUUGAAUAACACCAAACUGCACCUGGACCAGUCUCUUUGUGAGCUGGAGCAGCCGCUCGUCUAUCCAGGCAGCUGUCUGGAUCCGCUGGCGAGGCGUCCCUGGUGUCAUUUCCUCGGCCAGCCAAGGACGUUGAUAGAGCAGAACAGUCCUUCCUGUCCAUCUCAGAUAACAACAAAACAUCUGAUAUCAAUUCCCGCUCUGUCCCUUCACUGCUUUGCAUCAACGAAGUGCCACUAUGGAGGGAGGAAGAGAGAGAGAGACAGGGAAGGCAGGAGGGAAAGGAAGUGGUAGAGGAAGCAAAGUGACAGAAGGAAUCAAGCAAGGUGGCAAGGGAGGAAAGGAGGAAUAGUGUUACACCAGGUCAGUCUUGCAGAACAACACUAAAGGUCUAUCAUGCUUCUUGCACAUCCUGCCAUCCUUCCAGGUUCUCCACAGGAUCGAUCAGCUUGUGUCUUUUCAGGCCUGCGGUUCUCUGAUGAGGCUCCAGGUGAGUCUCACAGCAGGAGGCCAGACACACCAGCAGCAGGCCGGACUUCAGGCUCCUUCACUCUGGUUUCAGUGCAGACGUUCGCUGAGAACUUCUCCUGGUUUGGCUCGUUGCUGCUCUGAGCUGCUUUUCUGUUUAACUGAGCAGCUCAACUCAGAUAUGAAAGUGUUGACAUGCAGCUCUGGUCUUCUGUCAAACCGUUUAUUACACGUGGGACAUUGGCAUUGGACAUUAAUGUCCCAGAAGUGUUCUGUGGUGCAGAUGUUGCAUCCACACAGUAUUGAGACUGGAUCAGUGAACACAUGCAGACAGGUGCAGCACCGAAACCGGUCUUCAGAGA